rnacentral:misc_RNA from 1 species
GAUGAAGAACGUAGCGAAAUGCGAUAAGUAAUGUGAAUUGCAGAAUUCAGUGAAUCAUCGAAUCUUUGAACGCACAUUGCGCCCGCCAGAAUGCUGGCGGGCAUGCCUGUUCGAGCGUCAUUUCAACCCUCGAGCCCCCCCGGGGGCCUCGGUGUUGGGGGACGGCACACCAGCCGCCCCCGAAAUGCAGUGGCGACCCCGCCGCAGCCUCCCCUGCGUAGUAGCACACACCUCGCACCGGAGCGCGGAGGCGGUCACGCCGUAAAACGCCCAACUUUCUUAGAGUUGACCUCGGAUCAGGUAGGAAUACCCGCUGAACUUAAGCAUAUCAAUAAGCGGAGGA